rnacentral:lncRNA from 1 species
GUUGAAUAAUGCCUAUUUGUUCUUAAACCACACAAAUAAAACAUGAAAAAAAAAAAGUAAUAAAUUAAUAAUAAAAAUAAAUGUAGAAAGAUCCAGAGAGUUCUGUUCUCUGUAUAAAUAUGUAAUAGCCAUGUUGUGUAAUAGAAGCAACUAAGAAAUCAGUUCCCUACUUCAUCUCUCUCUAUCUUCUACUACCUCUCACUCAUACGUUCUACACACAAACAUUCCUCUGUUUUCUUUUCUUUGAACAAGACCAAAAACAGAACAAGAGAAGCAUGAAGAAAACCUGCAAUUUUCUGCAGUUUGCAACAUGGUAUCAGAGCUCCUGCUGAUCUCUGGAGCCUUCCUGAACAAGACUGAAGAAGCUUGAACAAGUCUGAAGAAGAAGAGAACAAGACAGAACUAGAAAAUCAAAAGAACAAGAAGAAAAGAAGGAGAACAAGAAGAACAAAAACACAUGGCGUCAAACCUGCAAUCUUCACAACUUGUAGCUGUCUUUGAAGGAAAUAACUAUGAAUUCUGGGCAGCUAGGAUGAAGACAACUCUGAUGAACAGAGAGCUUUGGGAAAUAGUUGAAGAAGGACUUCCUGAACCACCAUCUAGAUCACCGGAAAUGUCUGGAGCUGACUAUGCAAAAGAGCUUGGAGACUGGCGAUCCCGUAAGGCGAAAGACACAGCGGCUCUACAACUCAUUCAACUUGCUGUAGCUGAUGUUGUCUUUGACAAAAUUCUUUCUGCAACCUCAGCCAAGCAAGCAUGGGAGCUACUUGAACAUUCCUAUCAAGGUAAUGAAAAAGUUAAGAUGGUUAGACUACAAGCCUUGAGAAGAGAUUUUGAGAAUCUGAAAAUGAAGGAAGGAGAAAAGGUUAAGCCUUAUUCUGAAAGAAUCCAGGCUGUAGCUAAUCAAAUGAGAGCUCUAGGAGAAGGUAGAUCAAACUUUGAUAUGGUAGUUAAGAUCUUAGCAUCCAUGCCCAAGAGCUAUGCUCCGUUGUCAUCACUGAUGGAAGAAACUAAAGAUCUCAAGACAGUAACAUUUGCUGAGUUGGUGGGAUCUUUGGAAGCUCAUGAAAAGAAGUUCUUCCCUGA